GGAGGAAAAGAAACUAACAAGGAUUCCCCUAGUAACGGCGAGUGAAGCGGGAAGAGCUCAAGCUUAAAAUCUCCGUGCAAGUUUUGCGCGGCGAAUUGUAGUCUAUAGAGGCGUGGUCAGCGUGGGCGCUUGGGGCAAGUUCCUUGGAAGAGGACAGCAUGGAGGGUGAUACUCCCGUUCAUCCCUGAGUGGCUCGUGCGUACGACCCGUGUUCUUUGAGUCGCGUUGUUUGGGAAUGCAGCGCAAAGUAGGUGGUAAAUUCCAUCUAAAGCUAAAUAUUGGUGCGAGACCGAUAGCGAACAAGUACCGUGAGGGAAAGAUGAAAAGAACUUUGAAAAGAGAGUUAAAGAGUACCUGAAACUGCUGAAAGGGAACCGAAUCGUUUCCAGUGUCUAUAAUCCGUGGCAUAUUUCAUUGGCGAGUGUGCGCGUGCGUGUGCUGUGGCAGUGGCUUUUUUGGCUGCGCUCGGUGUGUGUGCUGUGUGUGCUUGCUGGUGCCCUGUGCUGCGGUGGGACGUCAAGGUCAGUUCGUAUGCUGCGGGAAAUGGCUGCCGAGGAGGUAGGGCUUACGCUCCGCGUUUGUCUGUUAUAUCUUGGUGGACGAGUCGUCGCGGUUGGGACUGAGGUGCCUACAACGUGCUUUUGAGUGGGUUUGUGUCUCCGUGUGCGCCGUGUGCGGAUAGCUUGCUAUGCGUGUGUGGUUGUGUGUGGAUUGAUGCGGGCUUUAACUUGUCGCCGUUCGGGACGUUGACGAAAUGGAGCGAUCCGCCC
rnacentral:rRNA from 1 species